rnacentral:rRNA from 1 species
GACGGGGGGGGCAAGUGUUCUUCGGAAUGACUGGGCGUAAAGGGCACGUAGGCGGUGAAUCGGGUUGAAAGUGAAAGUCGCCAAAAAGUGGCGGAAUGCUCUCGAAACCAAUUCACUUGAGUGAGACAGAGGAGGGUGGAAUUUCGUGUGUAGGGGUGAAAUCCGUAAUAUACGAAGGAACGCCAAAAGCGAAGGCAGCUCUCUGGGUCCCUA